rnacentral:rRNA from 1 species
CACGUAGGGCGCAAGCGUUGUCCGGAAUUAUUGGGCGUAAAGAGCUCGUAGGCGGUCUGUUGCGUCUGCUGUGAAAACUCGGGGCUUAACCCCGAGCCUGCAGUGGAUACGGGCAGACUAGAGGUAGGUAGGGGAGAAUGGAAUUCCCGGUGUAGCGGUGAAAUGCGUAGAUAUCGUAAGGAAGACCAGUGGCGAAGGCGGGUCUCUGGACAGUUCCUGACGCUGAGGCACGAAGGCCAGGGGGAGCAAACGGG